rnacentral:lncRNA from 1 species
GCAGAAGCUGCACAGCCUCAUCCAGAAAGGAGUGCAGCUUGCAUCCUCCCUUUAGAAGUGUUUACUGGCUCUUAAGCACUGAGCUGCAAACCCUGUUUAACUUGUUCAGUCUCAUACCAGUUACAAGGUAUUGCAUCAGCUGCCAUAUUAGAAACAACACAGUAAUUUAGCUACAGCUCUCUCCAUCUGAGUGGGGCAAUCUUCAGCUGCUUCAGGAUGUAGCCUUCUCUGAAUUAAAGAAUGUGUCUUUCAAAAAAGCAAACAAAACCCCAACAAAACUCAUGCACAGGAAAGGGUGGAGCGGAAACUUAUUUUUAGCACAAGCCCCAUUCACUUAUGCCCUCCUUGGAGCUGCUGUUCAGCCAAUAAACCUCACGCAAUGCAAAAUGCUCAAUCCACUGCAUGAAUUUUAAAAAUACUGGAUUCCUUUUGGGUACUAAAAGUACCAGCUCUACUUUUCCUAGCUCCACCAACCCUACAAUCAUAGAAUGGCCUGGGCUGAAAAGGACCACAAUGCCUCAUCCAGUUCCAACCCCCUGCUAUGUGCAGGGUUGCUAACCAGCAGACCAGGCUGCCCAGAGCCACAUCCAGCCUGGCCUUGAAUGCCUGCAGGGAUGGGGCAUCCACAGCCUCCUUGGGCAACCUGUUCAGUGCAUCACCACCCUGUGUGUGAAAACCUGCCUCCUAAUAUCUUCUUUCCCACUUCAGAAUGCAAUACACAAGCUAGAAAAAACUCAUUAACGGUAUGAAACUUUGCAAAUUUACAUCUUUUACAAAAAAUGGUAACUUUAUUUCUACUGGAAGAACACACUGAAAAACCCCAAAUCUGGGAUUUUAUCCCUUCAGCACUCAUCUAUACCGGUGCGCUCAAAUUCUUUGGUUCCCCAGCUCAGAAGAGUUUUAGAUGACCAGAAACUUUAUCUAUGACAUCAGCAGGUCCCGGCCCGAUCCCCAGGACGGUCUGGGAGCCUGGCGCUAUCUGAGUGCGGCCGGCAUCCUGUACUAAGCUCACAGUCAGUCCCAGGCGCUUGGCGUCAAUCAGGAGCUGAAUCAGAGUCUCUUCAUCGGGAGCUUUGAGGACCACCUUGGGCUGCCCGCAGUACUCCCACUGCUUCAGGAGCUCGGGGUUCCUCCUUUGAAUUUGCUUGUAGGCGGAAACGGCCGCGUGGGAACACUGCGCCGCUACUUUACCUUUCCCCAUCUUCAGAUCGUUGCGGACGAUCAGCACCAUCUUGAACUCUCCCGACUCCCCCAUGACGUUGGCUUCGGUCCCACAGCUGCCGGCGGACGCCGCCAUGGCGCGGUGCUGCCUCAGGAACCGCCCGCGGAUGCCCCAUCCCAGGCACACACCGCAGGCGACCCCCGCCAGGAUGCUGAGGAAGCCGGGCUUGGAGAGGCAGUGAGAACGGUCACAGCACGCGGCCUUCCCCUGCCUCCCCAGCGCCCAAAUGCCACGGGCGGUGCUGCACAACUUCCGCAGUGAUUCGGGAAGCAGAGCCCCUACGCGACGUGCAACGCGGUGACAGAGCACCGCAGCGUCACCGGCC